AUAUGACGUAGUUCCGUCUUUGCUUAGAUAAUGCCAUCUUUGUAGGCCGCAAGGAACGUUUAUUUGUCACCUCGUGUAAAAAAAUAUUCUUCUAAGCUAUAUAUCUUAGUUUGCUUUUAGGACGAGACGAGCGCUUUGUUGAGGUGGUAGAAGUUUUUUCUGCCAGCGCAAGCCAUUUUGAAGAAAUCGUUUUGUCGGAUCAGUUAGUGGAGGAGCGUGCGCAGUUUUCGUUAAGUCACAUUUGAACGAUCGUGGUCCGGUGUUGACGACAUAGAUCUCCGUCCCAGCGAACAAAGGAACAGUAAGGCCGAUGCACGCUUGUUAGCUCUGUCUGGGGAAAAUAGUAUUUAUGAAAUAAUUUAAAAUUAAACCUACUGUAACGCUAUUUUUUCAUAGUACUUUGACUUGAGACGUCUUUGCUUCGAAUAAAAGUAACUAAUUACCGUGACUCAUUCAGUCCUGUCUUAGCAACAUCGGCUAACGCUAGCCGUAACUGUGGACAAGUAGCGAGCUAACUGCUAACUUUAGCACAGUAUUGAUCCAAGCAACAAGUUUUCUUUUUGGGGAAAUGGCCGAAGUAUACAUUCGAGUAGCAGAGGAGGAAAACGAGGAACCCAUGGAGAUCCCGUCCGAGGAUGACGGCACUGUUCUGCUUUCAACCGUGGCAGCUCAGUUUCCAGGGGCGUGCGGCCUUCGUUUCAGGAGCCCCGUGUCUCAGUGCAUGCGGGGAGUACGUCUUGUGGAAGGGGUCCUACACGCACCAGAAAACGGAUGGGGCAACGUCGUGUAUGUCGUGAACUAUCCAAAAGACAACAAAAGGAAAAUGGAUGAAAUAGAUGCCUCCUCUGCUGUGAAAAUGAAGAGAGGCGAUAUGAAGACAUCUGACCUGAUCGUACUGGGUCUGCCUUGGAAAACAACAGAGCAGGACCUGAAAGACUACUUUAGUACAUUUGGAGAAGUCAUCAUGGUUCAGGUAAAACGAGACGCCAAGACUGGAAAUUCUAAAGGUUUUGGCUUUGUGAGGUUCACAGAGUACGAGGCUCAAGAAAAGGUGAUCUCCCAGCGCCAUAUGAUUGACGGGAGAUGGUGUGACUGCAAGCUCCCUAACUCGAAGGUGAAUAUGCAAGGUCCAGAUGAGCCAUUAAGGAGCCGCAAAGUUUUUGUAGGCCGCUGCACAGAAGACAUGACCACAGACGACCUACGGCAGUUCUUUAUGCAGUAUGGAGAAGUUACAGAUGUCUUCAUUCCCAAGCCAUUCCGUGCUUUUGCCUUUGUCACGUUUGCAGAUGAUCAGGUUGCCCAGUCACUCUGUGGAGAGGACCUAAUUAUCAAAGGUGUCAGCGUUCACAUCUCAAACGCUGAGCCCAAACACGGGAAUAGGCAGUUUGACCGUACAGCACGGUUUGGGAAUGGCUUUGGAGCGCAAGCAUUUGGUAGCAGCCGUAGUGGGUUAGGGAGCAGCACUAACAGUAGUCUGGCUAAUUUUGGUUCCUUCAGUCUGAACCCUGCUAUGAUGGCUGCUGCUCAGGCUGCUCUGCAGAGUAGUUGGGGGAUGAUGGGUAUGCUGGCUAGUCAGCAGCAGACAUCCACCUCAGGCAGCACUUCCAGUGGAACAAGCUCUAGUAGGGACCAGAGUCAGUCUUUCAGUACAGGCAACAGCAACUACGGCACCAGCUCAGCCAGUCUUGGCUGGGGAACAGGGUCAAACUCCACAACCAGUGGUAGUGGGUUUAGCUCAGGGUUUGGGUCCAGUAUGGAGUCAAAGUCAUCUGGGUGGGGUAUGUAAGUUAAGUGUUGUAUGGUAAGUAUUGUGAGAAAGAUGAGUCUUUUCAAAAUUUAUUUCUGGUGUUAAUGCGUAUCUGAAAUUUAACACUUUUGUGGAAGAUGUUUUGUACAUUUGGAAAAAAUGCUAAAAGAUUUAAUUUAGAAAGUGUUGAAGUGAAUUGUUUACCAGGAUGUCCGACUAAAGUGCUAUUUUUGAUGUCUCGUUUGUUUGUAUCCAUUUCAACUGGAUUCUCUAAUGCAUGUAUUGUGAAAUGUGAUAUAACCAUUUUGAAAAUGCAUGAAUGUUUGUGAUUCACCAUUAUUCCGGCUUUGUCAUCGACUUAAAAGGCAAUCUUGCAUUGGGAAGAAUCUGGUUGAAACCUAAAUGUUUUAAGUGCAACUUUAUUUGCAGUCAAGUUCUGUGGAAAAGCCUUCAUUGAAAUCUCUUCUGCAGUUCACCUCUCUUCCAUUUUCCUGUGAGGAAGCUCCUCUUUGGCAGCAUUCUUGGGGUGAUAUCGGUAUCAUUCUCCCUCUUCCCACCUGUAAAUGCUAUGCCAUCAAAGAACGGCUUCACUCCGCAUGUUCUAAGAGACGGGACCUUGGGCUCUGCUCGUCGAGGUCUCCGUUUGAACCCUGACUGAAGUCUGUUCUGAAGGAUGAAGACGGAAGUUCCAACACUUUCAGUGUGUGGCCUUCUCAGACAUGACAUGGGGUAGUACCUGUCUUUUUGCUGCUUUUAAUGGCUUGUCAGAGUGAAUUAUCCUUUAUUAUUCAUAGCUACAUUAAGGUUAGAGGGAGGUUCCUGGGGGUCUCUGUCUUUAUUUUAACCUUAAAACGAUGAGAUCAGCAAUGUGGCAUCACCUUUCCAAAAGAGUUGUCCAUAAUUUGGCUAAAGUAAUAAUGACACGUUGUUGAGCCUUGGAAGUGGUGAUGGGGAUUUUUAGAUGGCCUUGUGCGUUAUGGGUAGUUUGCGUGACAGUCUUAAGGUUUCCCGAAGUGCAAAACAACAUGACAUAUUGAUCAUUCUUUCACUUUAAAGGAGAAACGUUGGGUAGAUAACUUGGCAGUCUAAACCCCUUAAAUAAAAGAUUAUGAAAUCAUAUUAAGAGUCUGUGUAGUGUCCCUUUGGCAUUGCUUAAAAAAACGACAUAAAAACUUUUUAUCAGGUUUGACACAGGGUUAUCAGGUCCUAUGUAAAAACAGUGCAAAAUGCACUAUGACAUGACAUUGUAUUAGUGGGUCCCUUAAGAGAGAAGUCCUGAGUUAUUUGGUCUAGAUGUGCAGAAUGUGUUCAUAGAACUACUGUAAUAUCAAAAUCUCUUGUUGUAGACUUCUUGAAAUGACAGCUGAAAUGCAUAAUAACCGUAAAAGAAAUACUUUGGCACUUUUAAUGACACUUAACUUAUUGUCAUGUAUUAGUCAGCCUUCAUGUUUAUUUGGAUGUUGGGCACAAGUGAGACACUGCAGGCCUGCCUGUGUCUUGUCCUUAAUCUCUGCUUUCCUCCUCAGUGUCUCUGCUCUUCCUCUUCCCAGUAUUCUUCUUUUUCAAAUCCCUCUGCUCCUGAUUCAGUUCUUCGCUUUUAUUUUGUAUGUAGAUGGACUGGAAUGAAUAAAGGCAAAUUAAACAUUCA